rnacentral:rRNA from 1 species
CCUACGGGAGGCAGCAGUGAGGAAUAUUGGGCAAUGGGCGGAAGCCGGAACCAGCCAAGUAGCGAGAGGGAUGAAGGCCCUACGGGUUGUAAACCGCUUUUGCACGGGGAUAACACCCUCCACUUGUGCAGGUCUGCAUGUACCGUGCGAAUAAGGGCCGGCUAAUUCCGUGCCAGCAGCCGCGGUAAUACGGAAGGCCCGAGCGUUAUCCGGAUUUAUUUGGCUUAAAGGGAGCGUAGGCGGGCGUUACAGUCAGCUGUAAAAUCGCGGGGCUCAACCGCGCCCCGCAGUUGAAACUGGACGCCUUGAGUUCACGACAGGCAGGCGGAAUUCGUGGUGUAGCGGUGAAAUGCAUAGAUAUCACGAGGAACCCCGAUUGCGAAGGCAGCCUGCCGGGGUGCGACUGACGCUGAGGCUCGAAAGUGCGGGUAUCAAACAGGAUUAGAUACCCGAGUAGUC